rnacentral:rRNA from 1 species
GCGCGAAAACUUUACAAUGCGGGAAACCGUGAUAAGGGGACACCGAGUGCCAGCAUCAUAUGUUGGCUGUCCAGAUGUGUAAAAUACAUCUGUUAGCAAGGGCCGGGCAAGACCGGUGCCAGCCGCCGCGGUAACACCGGCGGCCCGAGUGGUGAUCGUGAUUAUUGGGUCUAAAGGGUCCGUAGCCGGUUUGGUCAGUCCUCCGGGAAAUCUGACGGCUCAACCGUUAGGCUUUCGGUGGAUACUGCCAGACUUGGAACCGGGAGAGGUAAGAGGUACUACAGGGGUAGGAGUGAAAUCUUGUAAUCCCUGUGAGACCACCUGUGGCGAAGGCGUCUUACCAGAACGGGUUCGACGGUGAGGGACGAAAGCUGGGGGCACGAACCGGAUUAGAUACCCGGGUAGUCCCAGCCGUAAACGAUGCUCGCUAGGUGUCAGGCAUGGCGCGACCGUGUCUGGUGCCGCAGGGAAGCCGUGAAGCGAGCCACCUGGGAAGUACGGCCGCAAGGCUGGAAACUUAAAGGAAUUGGCGGGGGAGCACGAACAAC